UGGGGGAUAUUGCACAAUGGGCGAAAGCCUGAUGCAGCGACGCCGCGUGGGGGAUGAAGGCCAUCGGGUUGUAAACUUCUUUUGCUCUGAACAAGGCAUGCUAAUGGGUGUGUUGAGUGUAGGGGUUGAUUAGCGCCGGCUAACUACGUGCCAGCAGCCGCGGUAAUACGUAGGGCGCGAGCGUUGUCCGGAAUUAUUGGGCGUAAAGGGCUUGUAGGUGGCUGGUUGCGUCUGUCGUGAAAGCUCAUGGCUUAACUGUGGGUUUGCGGUGGGUACGGGCUGGCUUGAGUGCAGUAGGGGAGGCUGGAAUUCCUGGUGUAGCGGUGGAAUGCGCAGAUAUCAGGAGGAAUACCGGUGGCGAAGGCGGGUCUCUGGGCUGUUACUGACACUGAGGAGCGAAAGCAUGGGGAGCGAACAGG
rnacentral:rRNA from 1 species